CGAGAGGAACAGCCGAGGAGGAACGAGGUGCGCGCGUGAUCCACGUACACCGUUCGACUCGAAUUCGUUUAUCACAUUAACGGGAAAUUACAUUCCCGGGGUUCAAACAUUCAUCCCUGAGGAAUCGUUCGCCCGGCGUUGUGCACCACCUUGUGGAUUAUUACCUCGAUUUCCUUCCGGCCGAAAGAGGACACCUGCAGCAAUCAUGGCGCCGCGAAGACUGAAGAGUUGCAUGUCGGAAAAUCUCCUCACGAUUUUGACGGUCAUCGGAGUCGUAGGAGGAACGGUCCUUGGACUCAUCUUAAGGAACGUCAGGGACUCCGGAGACUGGUCGAAACGUGAAAUUAUGUACGUCCAGUUCAUGGGAGAUUUGUUCCUCCGGAUGCUGAAGGCUCUGAUUCUGCCCCUCAUCGUCUCGAGCAUCGUCAGUGCAAUCGGAAGUCUGGAUCUCUCGUUGUCAGGAAAAAUUGGAAGCCGCUCGAUUUAUUAUUACGCUACGACGACGGUGUGCGCUGUCAUUCUGGGUAUCAUUUUGGUCCUCGUAAUUCGUCCCGGGGAGAUUGGAUCGGCUAAAUACGAAGCCGACAAAUCAAAGGUUCCCACGAGAAAUGUUACGACGGAGGAUACGUUGCUCGAUUUGAUCAGGAACAUCUUCCCGCCGAAUCUAAUCCAGGCCUGCAUUAGCCAGUAUCGAACCGAGCUGGUGGACCCUCACAAUGAAUCCAUUCCUUUAAGAUCCUGGAAAAUCGAACACACCUACGCCGAUGGAACAAACACCCUGGGUCUCGUGAUAUUUGCAAUCGUGAUGGGAAUAACUCUGGCCAAGAUGGGGGAGGUCGGUAAACCACUAUUUGACUUCUUCCACUCGCUCUCCGAAGCGAUGAUGAUCAUCACUAACUGGGUGAUCUGGAUCUCGCCUAUCGGUGUCCUUUUCCUGGUCAGCUCGAAGAUCUUGGAAAUCGAAGAUCUCGGGGAGAUAGUCGGUAAGCUAGGCAUCUACUUCGCCGUUGUCCUCCUGGGUCUCUUCCUCCACGGUUUCGGCACCCUGACAAUAAUCUACUACGUCUGCACUCGGGAGCUGCCCUUCAAGGCGAUCGGUCAGAUGGGUCAGGUUUUGGUAACGGCGUUCGGAACAGCUUCAAGUUCCGCCACCCUGCCCAUCAGCCUUCAAUGCCUCGACCAAAUGGGACUCGAUCCCAGAAUCACAAGGUUCGUCGUCCCCAUCGGAGCCACCAUCAACAUGGACGGUACCGCUUUGUACGAGGCGGUUGCCGCCAUUUUCAUCGCUCAGAUCAGGGAAGUGCAGCUGGGUAUUGGAAGUGUCAUUGCCAUAAGCGUGACUGCGACUGCGGCUAGCAUCGGAGCUGCUGGCAUUCCCCAGGCUGGUCUUGUCACGAUGGUCAUGGUACUGGACACCGUUGGCUUACCCUCAGAAGACGUCAGUGUGAUCAUCGCUGUCGAUUGGUUGCUCGACCGAUUCCGUACAACGAUAAACGUGAUGUGCGACCUUCUGGGAGCUUGCAUAAUAGAGAAAAUGAGUAAAGGAGAGCUUGCAGCGGCGGAGUUGCGUCAGCAGGAGGAGAGCGUCGAGCUUACCCAUCUAAGGAAAUCAGAAGCGUGAAAAAGUGAUUAUAUGUACACGAUACUCGGCCAUGCAUAUAACCUUCGCAUUAACUGCAGCUGACACACGUUUCAAACGUUGAAAUCGCGAAUGUAUAUAUUUUGUUGUUGCUGAAAUUACAUAUGCUAUAUAUAGUCACACUACACACAUUACCUAUAUAUAUAUAUAUACACACAGAUAAUUGUUUACCCUCGUCGAUCAUGUGUUAGAUUGCUUCGUCCAUUCCAGAUUAUAUCGAAUAUUCACCUGCAACAUCAAACUGUGAGUCUAGAAUUGAAUGUCGAUAAAAAAACGUGUGUAAAACAAUUUCCCUCAUUACCGACGACGUAUAACUUGACAAUCGCUUGUGCCUGACAAUAAUUAGUAUAUCUAUUAUUAUAUCCGUUAUAAUCGACAUCGCAGAACGUGGGACUCAAGAACUAUACAUACGAGUAUAUUAUAACUACCUAUAAAUAAUACGAUACAUUUUCCAAGUCAAUAAAUUAAGUGCCAUUUCUUUUUCUCAUCUUGACGCGGUACUGGAAUUAUUAUUCUUACUAUGUUUUUUUUUUCCUUCAACCAUACGUACAUACGUAUAAUAUGGAAUAGCAAACCUUUGAUACUUAAAUUGUAUACUUAAUAAAUGUACCUCGAUUUA
rnacentral:misc_RNA from 1 species